GCCACGCGCAAGCCACGCCAUCGCCGUCCAAGCCGAUCGCCGCCACCCGGAAGUUGUACGUCGUCGCCGUUGUCCCCGAUUAAGGGCUGCCGCUUUCCGUUCUAGCCGAGGAAGUCUAGAACGCGGAACCCCGACAGGACCCAUGAAUCUUCCACCACCGCCACCAGAACGUUUUGGAGUCCUCAGUGGAUGGGACGGUAUAAAGGGACUCAGACUCAGAGGAAAAGGAAUCAGACUCAGAAUGGGUUUUUGGCGAGCACCAUUUUUGGAGUAGUAGUAAACCCAAGUUUUCAUCCUUGGAGUAUCGGUUUUGAGAAAGGCGAUAUGCAUGUACAUGUAUGGGACAGUUUAUAAAUGUAAAUAUUAUGGUAUAAGAAGGAAAUGAAAAAGAUAUGUAUAUUCUCUCU